UCCGGUGUAGCUCAGGCGGUAGAGCACCUCCCUGAAGAGGAGGGGGCCGCUGGUUCGACCCCAGCCGCCGGAA
rnacentral:tRNA from 1 species